GCAAAGCAGGUCUAUUUCGUUAUGUUAAAGCGAUCGUAUAAAAGGAUUUGGCCUACGAAGUACAGGUAGAUAUAAGGCAGUUUGUUCUUACGCAAGCGUCAAGUUAUAAAAAAUCAAGAAGGACGAACUCACCUUGAAAUUUGAAGAUUCGCCAAGUUGUAAGUAUUGUGUUAACACUGUGCAUGUCAAACAAAUCUAGCUAUUGCUAUGCAUGUUCAAGUUUAUAAUUUUAUAUGGGUAAAAUAAAGAAUUACCCCAGUACAUAUCUGAGGUGUUUUCAUAUUAGUCACAGAGCGAAAUUGUCGCAGCUGAAAUCAUAAUUACUACUGCUCUUCGAUCUCCAAUGUCAAGUACUGUAGCUCUAAUUCGUGCAAGUAGCCUAUGUUUGCUAAAACCAACAUAUUUUUCUAGAUUUAUCGAAAAUAAUGAAAAUUAUCUGUUUGAUUUUCCUGAUUGGAAUAUUCGCUAUUGAAUGCGAAGGAUGGGGAGGACGUUUCAGUUUGCCACGAUUGCCCAGGUACCGGUGGCCAAGAAUCUCUCUGCCUAGGGUGCGCGUACCAAGGAUUUCUUGGCCCAGGUUCCACUCUCGCAGGACGUCAUCAUUCAUUCAAACAUAUAUAUACGACAAGGCAUUCAAAGAAGUCUAUAAGCAGAAAUGCCGUAGUGACAACGAGGCCAUAAACUGUGGUUACAAAUUACAUAACAGAGUUAAACAAAUCUGCAGGCAAUCGUGCCUCAAACACUUCAACUUUGGCAAAAGAUCUAUUGACUAUUCACAAAAUUUCAAUAAAC